rfam:Glycine soja cultivar W05 scaffold2946_9, whole genome shotgun sequence.
GGUCUAUUAGCUCAGUUGGUUAUAGCAUCGUAUUAAUAACACGAAAUUCAUAGGUUUGAUUCUUGCAUGAGUCA